AGUGGUGCUGAAAUUCUGCUUCAGUCAUAAAAACUUAAAACUGCUACCGGUUUCAGGUUCUUUUAGAGUGACUCCCAGAUUAGUGGAGACACAGCCUGAGUUGAAUAUUAAUAAUUUUAUAUCAAGUCUACUUCGAAAACUGGGCUGGUCAGAUUCAAGGAAUCGACUCUUUUGGAGUCGACUCCUCAUCAGUACUGCGCAUGUGCUUACAAAUCAUCACAUCGACGCGCACGUGGAAGUGAUCGCCGCGGGAAAACUGAGUUUGUCUAGUUCCUCCAUGGUUGUGAGAGGGAAGACAUCAUCCUCGCUGUCCACCACUGGAGCACUGGAACGGUUGUUUGCUGCAAGGGACUGGACCACUGAAGUCAGAUGAUUGAUCUUCAUGUCCAGUUCAUUAAGUGCCUCCAGAAUUGUCCUCUCAACAGCUGCAACACAUUAGAUGGGUGUUCACCCCAAGCAUCUUCUUGCUCAUUUUCAUUGGACAAGCUCACUGGAACAGCUGGAGUUAAA